GAUGAACGCUGGCGGCGUGCCUAAUACAUGCAAGUCGAGCGAACAGACGAGGAGCUUGCUCCUCUGACGUUAGCGGCGGACGGGUGAGUAACACGUGGAUAACCUACCUAUAAGACUGGGAUAACUUCGGGAAACCGGAGCUAAUACCGGAUAAUAUAUUGAACCGCAUGGUUCAAUAGUGAAAGACGGUUUUGCUGUCACUUAUAGAUGGAUCCGCGCCGCAUUAGCUAGUUGGUAAGGUAACGGCUUACCAAGGCAACGAUGCGUAGCCGACCGGAGAGGGUGAUCGGCCACACUGGAACGGAGACACGGACAAGACUCCUACGGGAGGCAGCAGUAGGGAAUCUUACGCAAUGGGCGAAAGCCUGACGGAGCAACGCCGAGUGAGUGAUGAAGGUCUUCGGAUCGUAAAACUCUGUUAUUAGGGAAGAACAAAUGUGUAAGUAACUAUGCACGUCUUGACGGUACCUAAUCAGUAAGCCACGGCUAACUACGUG
rnacentral:rRNA from 1 species